rnacentral:ncRNA from 2 species
CAAUUGAUUCAGGGCAGGGUGAAAUUCCCGACCGGCGGUGACAGUCCGCGACUCCCGUUCCGAAAAUUUUAGGAUGGGACUGAUCUGGUGAAACUCCAGGGCCGACAGUAAAGUCUGGAUGGUAGAAGCGAUUG